GCGGAGCAGACUAACAGGAUUCCCCUAGUAACUGCGAGUGAAGCGGGAAAAGCUCAAAUUUAAAAUCUGGCGGUCCUUGGCCGUCCGAGUUGUAGUCUGGAGAAGUGCUUUCUGCGCUGGACCGUGUAUAAGUCUCUUGGAACAGAGCGUCAUAGAGGGUGAGAAUCCCGUCUUUGACACGGACUACCAGUGCUUUGUGAUGCGCUCUCAAAGAGUCGAGUUGUUUGGGAAUGCAGCUCAAAAUGGGUGGUGAAUUCCAUCUAAAGCUAAAUAUUGGCGAGAGACCGAUAGCGAACAAGUACCGUGAGGGAAAGAUGAAAAGCACUUUGGAAAGAGAGUUAAACAGUACGUGAAAUUGCUGAAAGGGAAACGCUUGAAGUCAGUCGCGUUGUCCGGGACUCAGCCUUGCUUUCGCUUGGUGCACUUUCCGGAUGACGGGUCAGCAUCGAUUUUGACCGUCGGAAAAGGGCUGGAGUAAUGUGGCACCUCCGGGUGUGUUAUAGACUUCAGUCGCAUACGGCGGUCGGGAUCGAGGAACGCAGCGCGCCGCAAGGCAACACGCUUAGGAUGCUGGCAUAAUGGCUUUAAACGACCCGUCUUGAAACACGGACCAAGGAGUCUAACAUACCUGCGAGUGUUUGGGUGGAAAACCCGAGCGCGUAAUGAAAGUGAAAGUUGAGACCUCUGUCGUGGAGGGCAUCGACGCCCGGACCUGACGUUCUCUGACGGAUCCGCGGUAGAGCAUGUAUGUUGGGACCCGAAAGAUGGUGAACUAUGCCUGAAUAGGGUGAAGCCAGAGGAAACUCUGGUGGAGGCUCGUAGCGAUUCUGACGUGCAAAUCGAUCGUCAAAUUUGGGUAUAGGGGCGAAAGACUAAUCGAACCAUCUAGUAGCUGGGUCCUGCGAUU
rnacentral:rRNA from 2 species